CUUUUGGGGGAGCACAGAGAGCCCUGCCCCCCUCAGCGGUGGAUGGAGGCAUCUAGCCCCUACCACAUCUGUCUAAGGCUAAAGCUCCAGGGCCCAGGGACAUCCCCUCCCCGCCCUAGAAACAGACCCAUGUACAGAUUAGCAGGGAAUUUCCUGAGUCAGCAGUGCCUUAUAUGGGAAUCAAAGUCCUGAAAUGUCAGGGCAGCAGAGGCAUGUUGCCUCUAUUCCAUCCUCUGAACAUUUGUCUGGGGAAACUGAGUUACAGAAGAGGUUGUGACGUGUUGGAGUCCUCUGUGCAGGAGCUCCAGAGCAGCGACUGGAAUGAGGAAGGGGAGGAACUGGGCCUACCUGGAGCGGGCUUUGUUCUCCAUCUGGUGCUGGGGCUGAUCUGUGUCCACUCUGGGUGGCCUAUCUGUGAGAUCCACCUGCCUCUGCCUUCCAAGUGCUGGGAUUAAAGGCGUGCACCAUUAUGUAAGACUUUUUUUGUUAUUGUUCUUGUUUUUAGACAGAAUCUCAAGUAGCCCAGGCUUGCCUCAUGCUGAUGUAUGUAACCCAGAAUGACCUUGGAGCCUCCAUCCUGUGGCUUCUAUUUCCUAAGUAUUGGAAUCACAGCAUGUGACACCACAGCCCUUGUGUGGCGGACAGAGGACGACUUUCAGGGGGCAGAGAGGAUGCUGGAAAGAAGUAGGAUGGAGUCAGAGGAGUUGCCAGCCAAACCCAGGGAGGAAGCAGGUGGCACAAGAUGAAAGAAAGCUGCAGACCUCCUUCUCCAGCACCAUGUCUGCCUGCAUGCCAUGCUUCCUGCCAUGAGGGUAAUGGACUAACCCCUGAACUGGCCUCUCUAUGUAGUCCUGGCUGGACUGGAACUCAUUACGUAGACCAGGCCAACCCUGAACUCGUAGAGACUGCCUGCCUCUGCCUCUCGAAUUUGGAGAUUA
rnacentral:lncRNA from 1 species